CCAAUGCGGCCGCGGAGACAAAACAAAGUAAACCGCAGGGCUGGCAGUCCCAACGGCAGUCGGCCCUGCGCACACAGGAGCACCCCGGCCUCCGGGCGGGGCAAGGGACGUCGCUUGGGUCCAAGUGUACCCGACACAGCGGAGCAGGGACUUGGACCCCGAGAACACAGGCAAGAGAUAGAAGAGUUCCCAGUUCACUACAGGAGGAUGGGACAGUGCAUGAAGCUCAGCAAGAGUUUGUCCAUGUCUUUCCAGCAUUGCCUGCUGACUCCUCAAGCAUCAGAACAGGCACCAUCCUCAAGGCUGGGAGGAAACAUUCCACAGGACAACCCAAUAGUCUCAAUUAUCCCUGAGCAGCUGACAAUCGAGAGUCAGAUCGGGGUCCUGGUUGAAUGCUCAAUGACCCUGGGAGUGCACAAAUGGGCUGGCAUUUCCAUCUUUCCUUAUAUCUUCAUUGGGAGAGGUGCUGGUCAAUCAAGUGAUAACUAUGACAGAUAUCUUCAUCUGCCCCUCUAGAUCCUUUCUCCUCCAUUCUCUGUCCUGAUAUAUCAGCCUCAGGAUACUGACCUACAUGGACAACAUCAAAAGAUACCCUGAACUUGUGCAUUUUCAGACUACCCACCUAGAAGAUAGACUCUUUUUCUUGACUUCGGGAUAGUUUCUGAUAAACCCCCUUUGAGCUCAGUCCACGAAACAGCUCCAGAAGUCUAGACUCUCAGAAGAAAGUAGAACAUGGCAACUUUAAUGUAAUCGAAUACUCAUGGGAAUUGGAAUCAGAGUGGAAAUCAGAGUUGGAAUCAUUAGUUAUUUCUCUAUUACUUUCUGCUUUGUGACCAGUAGCAAGUUAAUAAUCUCUCUUAGGGUCAGGUUUUACCAUGACAAAAACUGGAUAAGUUGGUUUUACCUAUGCAAUAGAGUUGCUCUGAGAUUCAAAAUCAAACAAAAUGUUUUUCAGUUUUGAAAAAUAAACAGUUCCAUCAUCAGCACACUAAUUUAGGGAUUAUUAUUAGGAUCUUGGAGAUACAGUGCCAGAAGAUUGGGCAGGGGCCAGGAUGCCCGGGCAAUGUGAGCCUGGAGAAGUCAGUUAACCUUCUGGUACUUCAGAACCUCUAGUAGCUCAAUAAUGAUAUUAUUAAUAUCAUCUGCCUUGCAGGGGUUUAGGAUAUUCACUACACCAAAUAAAGCUUUCUCAUGGGCACUUGACUUUUUUUUCCCCCUCUCUGUUGAGAACAUAGCUAGUGGUUUAACUGGAAGUGGUGGGGGAAUGGGACAUAAAUAAAUUAGUUCAGAAACUACCUCCUAAUUAUUGCAGGAUAAAAGAAUCUGCGUAUUUGCAGCAGUGCAGUUUAUUUCUUCCUAUGGAGCUGGAAAAAGGAGGCAUCUGGCAGAUAUUUCCUUUUGUCUGAAUCAGGCUUUCUCUCUGAUUCAUUGGUGCUCUCAGUACCUGACCAAAGUCAUGGCCAAUUAACUUUGAUCCACCAAGUCACUAAAGUCCUAUGCAGUAUUUCCUCAGGAAUUAAUUUUAGAAAAUGAAUUUCUGUGUAGCUUUUCCUGCAAGUUGCCCACUGAAAUGACUUAGCAGAAGUGAAUAUUGCACAUGCACCUAAUGUUUAUAAGCUGGUCUGGUUUAUGUGAGAAGUGUUGUGGUGGAGCAGUUUUUUAGAGUACUGCCCCGCAGCUGAAAUGCCUGACUUUGAAUCUGAUCUGUACCACUUCUAAUUGUCAUGACUGUAAGUUAUUUAAACUUUUCCUGCUUCACUUUUCUCUUUUACAGAAUAGGACUGAUAAGAGUUCCUCUCUCAUAAGUUUGUUGUAAAGAUUAGGUUAUAAGCAAAAUGCUUGGAACAGUGCCUGGCACAUGGUAAGGUUCCGUGGAGUUUUCUAGUUGUCACUCCAUUGUAACUGAGGUGGGAAUGUGGACCCAAUCUUUCAGAUGAUUCAGUUAUUUAAGAAAAGCUAGACAUUGGAUUUUCAUGGUAAUUUUAAAUAUUGACACCUAAUUUAAAAAUCUUUAAAAAAUAAAUGAAAACCUUUAACACUAUAACACAUAUCAAACAAAAUAUGACUGAGAGUUGAAUUCAGCCUAUAGGCCUCUACUUUUUCGGUGAAUUAGAGAUACCUAGAGUAGAUGGAGAAUUUCAUUUAAUGAUUCCCAAAUUCUGAGUUCCUAAUCCUUGGGAAAGUUGACUUGAGCCAAGGUUACACCUAGAUCUUGAGUGCAGUAAAUUGGUAUGGGAAAGAGGAAAGCAAGUACCUGCUGUGUGCCAGUUCUUUGCCAACACUUGACAAAUGGAAUUUUAUUACCUUUUCACAAUAAUAUGAGUGGUAGUAUGAUGUUGAUUUAUAGUAAGAAAUAUAUAAUUUGGUCAUCAUGCCUGUUUCUGGUACAGAGCUCCUAAAACCCUUGGAAUUUCUGGCUGUUGAGAGCUUGAGAGCUAUAAAGGUAUCU